UUGUGGGAUCUAGAACCACUUGGGUUUUUUUUUUAGUUGUUUUGCUGAUAAAGAGUUCUGCACUGGGGCGCACGGUGGUUUAACGGUUAGCACUGUUACCUCGCACCUGCGGGGUCAGGGGUUCAAAUCCCACCACUGCCCUGGGUGUGCCGGAAUUGGCAUGUUCUCCCUGUGCUUCAGGGGUUUCCUCCUCCAGUCCAAAGACAUACAUGCACUGUAGGCCGAUUGCCAUUUCCAAAUUGUUGAUGGAUGGAUGGGAUUCGGCACUCGCAUCUGACUCGUUUUAUUCCAUGACGAAAUGCUAGCGACAUAACGUACAGUACGUUUAAUGAUAUUAACUAAAAUGCAUGACUCAAAAUGAGCUCGUACAGAUAACACAAGGAGGAUAUGUGUUGUGCGUUCCGGACAACAUUGUCUGCUUAACGGACAUGACACACUGCUACACAACAAUAAUGUCACAAAGUAAAAUAAACAACAACAAUAACGCAUGAAUAUGCAUCUAAACUGCGGUGGGGUGUGAGUGUGACGUGUGUGUAUUUUUCUAGCAAGAAAGAAAUAGAACCUAAUGAAUUAAUAUGAUAAACAGAACAUGAAGGAACGUGUAUAACCGCUAUGUGUAACUGCACAAAGCAUCCGGUCGGAAAUGACCUUUGACCCCAGAAUCUGACCAUACAUUAAACCUGGUUUAUCAUUUAUUUCCCGUUCACUUCAGGAGGAAAAAAAAUGCGUGUGUGUGUGUGUGUGUCUGGGCUUGAAGCGUUUACUUGAUUCCUGAAAUUUAUCAGUUUUUCUCCCACGAUGUUUAGCGUGACUGAAGCAGCACUGACCUUGAGGUGUGAGGGGAGGUGUACACUGUUUCAACACACUCCCCGUUUCACACAGUGUGUGUGUGUGUGUGUGUGUGUGAAAACAAUGUUUAAAACUUCCCACUUACAGCAUUUCACCAGAACGGUACGGUAUUUAUUGUAUAGCUUUAACCCCCGGAUCAUAAGAAUCAGGUUUAUGAUCUCAUUUUAUUGAUAGUCACAGUCGCACAGGAUUAGCUCUAGCUACACAUGUAUAGCAAGAAGCUGUGCAUUAUGACCUUUGACCCUGAACCCUGGUACAUAAACGUAAUAUUUGCGAAUACACAAACGUGUGUCAUCGGCAAUACAGCUACGGUGAAGUUUUCCAUAAGAUGUCAAUGGAAGGAGUCUCCAGUGUCAGCACUUUGUAACGGUCAGGAUAAACAGCUGGAACUUUAAGUUUUCCGACACGGGAAAGUCUUCAGGAUGGAAGAGUUUGAGGGGGGAAAAAUAGAUGAAAGCCUGUUCAUAGCUGCUAUAACAUAAGUGAAAUAAGAACUAGCUUGUUUCCUGGAUGUUUCUCAAGUACUGUAACAAUAAACUGAUAAAAACAACAGUUGUUUAUUAAUGAGAGAAAAAAAACGGCAUUAAUGUUGUAUAAGUGGAAUAAAACACUUUAUGUGCAGUUAUUGGAAAAUAAUCAACCUCGGGGUAGUAACGCGACGGUAACACCGCUUCACAUCACACCACCACGUCCUUGAUUAUUUUCCCAUAAGUGCAUUCCUUCAAGUGGUUCAUUCCUUACAUAACAUUCAGCAUUGCUAGGUUAUAUCAAUCCCUGCUGAAACAAACACUCCAUUAGAAACCAUUAGGGAUGUCUAGUGGCUCCUAAUGAGGUUUAAUGUGUCUCUGGUGAUGGUUCCUGAUGGCCUUUCUUGUGUUGUUCUGAUAAAAGUCAUCUACACAUGCUGGUAUUUAAUAGUGAACCCAGAAAAUUCCUAAUGCGAACGUUCAUAAAGCUGAAGCAAACCAAUAUAACCAUAUCUGAGGGUUGAUGGAAACCGUUAGAGAUUUUUUCUUGAAGGAUUGUAUUUAUUGUAUAUAUCAGGGAUAUCACACUGUGCAAACGUGCAUGGUGUAAGCGAUACGCAUUCCUGGAUGCUGGCAAGGGCGUGCUGAAACGUGUAAACAACAGGAACGGAUGAAUCACUGCACUUUAUUGUGAGGCAUUGGUAGUUGCAGUGCAGUACUACGAAAUGAUAAAGACUUUUAAAGUAGUUCUACGGAGCCAGAGAGAUUGUGCGUUAGCGUGUAGUAAAUUUGAUUGACAGCUGUGUCUGCACAAUGAAUGUCCAAGCAUUGAAAGCUUAUUUAUGAACUGAGUGACGCGCUCAUACUCAUACAUAUCAAAACAUAGCACCGUGACCUUUGUUCGCAGUGCUGAGCUCUCUCUCUCUCUGUGUGUGUGUGUGUGUGUGUGUGUCUACGUAUGCAGAAUGUUUUUGUGGUGAGUUUAAAGAACACAGUGUACCACAAAAACCGAAACAUCACCCACUCUCUUGUGUGCUCCAUAUCACCCUGAGAGAAUAUAUCACUCUCAGAUACAAGAGGCUAUAUAUAUAUAUAUGACAUUCACAGACAAACACAGCACAUAUACACACUGUUACACUACUGCAGCUAAUAGAAGUAAAGUUGUGUACAACAUUAGAGCUGGAAACGUUCCAGGUAUUGUAACUGUUCUUGUAU
ensembl:lncRNA